UUUCCUAUGCACAGGUUUUGAUAAAUCUCCCCCCUAGUGUCUCAUGGCCUGAACACCUGAUCCUUGUACAAAACAGGGGCCACUUAGACAACCCUCCUCAGGGGUCAAAGAGGUUAUGUGGCACAGAGAGUACUUACCUGCUCAUUGUAACAAUGAACAUUGCUUCAUUCUUCUUUCUACGUUCAGUUUGUUCCAUUGACUGAAUUUAACCUUUUCUGAAAUGAUCCUCAGAUAUUAUUGAUAUUACUUCAGUCAUAUUUGGCUAAAAAUGAGGACUCUGUGGCUGCACUAGAUGUGACCUCCAAUAAUUUUGCGCGGAGACUUGGCCAGCAUAGAAUAAAUAAGACACUGCCGUUUGCUUAUGACACAAGUCUAAUGCUAAAUGGACUUUAAAUAUUUGGAUUUAUUAUUCACAAUGUUCAAGAGGAUGUUUACAAAAGCUGGAAAGAUUUAUCGGCACAGGAAAGGUAAACUGCCAGCAUACAAAUAGACAACCUCGUGACAUUCAUAUCGACGCGAGGAAGAGACACGCUGCAAAUGCAAAUGAGACGACAGACAGCAAUCUCUGGGAUGGCAGUCAUCACUUCCAAACACCGCAGACUGAAUCAAGGAUAUAACACGCCGCAUAUUGUGUGACACUACGAGUGAAUGGCGGCCACAACACUCAGCAGGACUUAUAUACACCUGAGAAGGACCCCCUCAGUGGAGCUCUGGAGUAAAGGAUAUUUUCUCCACACACAAUUGUAUUGUGAAAUCUAUCAUUUGUUUGAAUACACGCUUACAGGAUAAAAGCCACUAUUAUAUAUAGCUAAAAAUGAAUAAAGGAGCGUGACACAUUUCCUGCGAUCCAAGAUUUAGCCUGCAGUGUUGUAUCAUUGUACUUCUCUUUUCUAAGGCCUUGUGUUAAAUAAAGCAGAGAUAAAUGCUUGGUAAAAGCUAUACAUGUUUAUCU